AUACGUAGGUGGCGAGCGUUGUCCGGAAUGAUUGGGCGUAAAGGGCGCGUAGGCGGCGCGGUAAGUCUGGAGUGAAAGUCCUGCUUUCAAGGUGGGAAUUGCUUUGGAUACUGCCGCGCUUGAGUGCGGGAGAGGGAUCGGAAUUCCCGGUGUAGCGGUGAAAUGCGUAGAGAUCGGGAGGAACACCAGUGGCGAAGGCGGGUAACUGGACUGCAACUGACGCUGAGGCGCGAAAGUGUGGGGAGCAAACAGGAUUAGAUACCCUGGUAGUCCACACUGUAAACGAUGAAUGCUAGGUGUAAGAGGUAUCGACCCCUUUUGUGCCGGAGUCAACACAAUAAGCAUUCCGCCUGGGGAGUACGGCCGCAAGGUUGAAACUCAAAUGAAUUGACGGGG
rnacentral:rRNA from 1 species